rnacentral:rRNA from 1 species
GGUCCUUGACGCACUGUUGUCUAUAGCCUAAAUUACACAUGCAAGCCUCCGCGCCCCAGUGAGGAAACCCACAAGCUCUGUUUGAGCAAUGGAGACGGCAUCAGGCACGCCACCCGCCCGCCCGCUACGCCACGCAAAUUGCCACACCCACAAGGGCCUCAGCAGUGAACAACAUUAAGAAAUUAGCGGAAGCUUGACUUAGUUAGGGCUAAGAAUGGCCGGUAAAUCCCGUGCCAGCCACCGCGGUUAUACGAGAGGCCAGAGACAACAGCAUUUGGCGUAAAGCGUGACUAGAGUGAAACCCGUACUUAAGGGGGUACCUCUUCUAAGCUGUGAAACCCACAAGAAACAAGA